GACGAGGGGUCCAAGCGUUGUUCGGAAUCAUUGGGCGUAAAGCGGGUGUAGGUGGCUUUGUAAGUCAGGAGUGAAAUCCCCCGAGCUUAACUUGGGAAGUGCUUUUGAAACUGCAGAGCUUGAAUGUGGGAGAGGAUCGUGGAAUUCCAGGUGUAGUGGUGAAAUACGUAGAUAUCUGGAGGAACACCGGUGGCGAAGGCGGUUCUCUGGGCCUGUACUGACGCUGAGGAGCGAAAGCGUGGGGAGCAAACAGG
rnacentral:rRNA from 1 species